rnacentral:rRNA from 1 species
GGUGAACUGGCGGCGGCCUAACAUGCAAGUCGAGCGGAAACGACACUAACAUCCUUCGCGUGCGUUAAUGGGCGUCGAGCGGCGGACGGGUGAGUAAUGCCUAGGAAAUUGCCUUGAUGUGGGGGAUAACCAUUGGAAACGAUGGCUAAUACCGCAUAAUGCCUACGGGCCAAAGAGGGGGACCUCCGGGCCUCUCGCGUCAAGAUAUGCCUAGGUGGGAUUAGCUAGUUGGUGAGGUAAUGGCUCACCAAGGCGACGAUCCCUAGCUGGUCUGAGAGGAUGAUCAGCCACACUGGAACUGAGACACGGUCCAGACUCCUACGGGAGGCAGCAGUGGGGAAUAUUGCACAAUGGGCGAAAGCCUGAUGCAGCCAUGCCGCGUGUAUGAAGAAGGCCUUCGGGUUGUAAAGUACUUUCAGUUGUGAGGAAGGGGGUAGUGUUAAUAGCGCUAUCUCUUGACGUUAGCAACAGAAGAAGCACCGGCUAACUCCGUGCCAGCAGCCGCGGUAAUACGGAGGGUGCGAGCGUUAUCGGAAUUACUGGGCGUAAAGCGCAUGCAGGUGGUUCAUUAGUCAGAUGUGAAAGCCCGGGGACUCACCUCGAACUGCAUUUGAAACUGGUGAACUAGAAGUACUGUAAGGGGGGUAAAUUUCAUGUGGAAGCGGUGAAAUGGGGUAAAGAUCUGAACGAAUACCCGUGCCUAAGGCGGCCCCCCGGUAAAAUUCUUAAACCCAAAUUCUAAAGCGUGGGAAACCAAAAGGAAUAAAAUCCCCGGUAUCCACCCCCCAACCCUCGCCUAUUGCGGUUUUGCCCUUGGCCCGUUGUUUUUGGCGUCGCAGCCCUUAAUUUACCCCCCGGGGACAUCGCCCCCCAUUUU